AUACGUAGGGGGCGAGCGUUGUCCGGAAUGAUUGGGCGUAAAGGGCGCGUAGGCGGCCCGGUAAGUCUGGAGUGAAAGUCCUGUUUUUAAAAUGGGAAUUGCUUUGGAUACUGUCGGGCUUGAGUGCAGGAGAGGUAAGUGGAAUUCCCAGUGUAGCGGUGAAAUGCGUAGAGAUUGGGAGGAACACCAGUGGCGAAGGCGACUCACUGGACUGUAACUGACGCUGAGGCGCGAAAGUGUGGGGAGCAAACAGGAUUAGAUACCCUGGUAGUCCACACUGUAAACGAUGAAUGCUAGGUGUAGGGGGUAUCGACCCCUUCUGUGCCGCAGUCAACACAAUAAGCAUUCCGCCUGGGGAGUACGGCCGCAAGGUUGAAACUCAAAGGAAUUGACGGGG
rnacentral:rRNA from 1 species